rnacentral:rRNA from 1 species
GUAGGGGGCGAGCGUUAUCCGGAUUUAUUGGGCGUAAAGCGUGUGUAGGCGGUUUAUUAAGUCUAAGAUCAAAGCCCGAGGCUUAACCUCGGUUCGUCUUAGAAACUGGUAGACUUGAGUGCAGUAGAGGCAAGUGGAAUUUCUAGUGUAGCGGUUAAAUGCGUAGAUAUUAGAAGGAACACCAGUGGCGAAGGCGGCUUGCUGGGCUGUUACUGACGCUGAGACACGAAAGCGUGGGGAGCAAA